UACAGAGGGGGCAAGCGUUGUUCGGAAUUACUGGGCGUAAAGGGCGCGUAGGCGGCCUGCUAAGUCGAACGUGAAAUCCCCGGGCUCAACCCGGGAACUGCGUCCGAGACUGGCAGGCUCGAAUCCGGGAGAGGGAUGUGGAAUUCCAGGUGUAGCGGUGAAAUGCGUAGAGAUGUGGAGGAACACCGAUGGCGAAGGCAGCCUUCUGGGCCAAUACUGACGCUCAUGCACGAAAGCGUGGGGAGCAAAC
rnacentral:rRNA from 1 species